UACGAAGGGGGCUAGCGUUGUUCGGAUUUACUGGGCGUAAAGCGCACGUAGGCGGAUCGUUAAGUCGGGGGUGAAAUCCUGGAGCUCAACUCCAGAACUGCCUUCGAUACUGGCGAUCUUGAGUCCGGAAGAGGUGAGUGGAACUCCUAGUGUAGAGGUGGAAUUCGUAGAUAUUAGGAAGAACACCAGUGGCGAAGGCGGCUCACUGGUCCGGUACUGACGCUGAGGUGCGAAAGCUAGGGUAGCGAACGGG
rnacentral:rRNA from 1 species